GUGGGGAAUCUUGCGCAAUGGGCGAAAGCCUGACGCAGCCAUGCCGCGUGAAUGAUGAAGGUCUUAGGAUUGUAAAAUUCUUUCACCGGGGACGAUAAUGACGGUACCCGGAGAAGAAGCCCCGGCUAACUUCGUGCCAGCAGCCGCGGUAAUACGAAGGGGGCUAGCGUUGCUCGGAAUUACUGGGCGUAAAGGGCGCGUAGGCGGAUCGUUAAGUCAGGGGUGAAAUCCCAGAGCUCAACUCUGGAACUGCCAUUGAUACUGGCGAUCUUGAGUGUGAGAGAGGUAUGUGGAACUCCGAGUGUAGAGGUGAAAUUCGUAGAUAUUCGGAAGAACACCAGUGGCGAAGGCGACAUACUGGCUCAUUACUGACGCUGAGGCGCGAAAGCGUGGGGAGCAAACAGGAUUAGAUACCCCAGUAGUCC
rnacentral:rRNA from 1 species